AGGGAAUCUUCCACAAUGGACGCAAGUCUGAUGGAGCAACGCCGCGUGAGUGAAGAAGGCUUUCGGGUCGUAAAACUCUGUUAUUGAAGAAGAACGUGUGUGACAGUAACUGGUCAUGCAGUGACGGUAUUCAAUCAGAAAGUCACGGCUAACUACGUGCCAGCAGCCGCGGUAAUACGUAGGUGGCAAGCGUUGUCCGGAUUUAUUGGGCGUAAAGCGAGUGCAGGCGGUCUUUUAAGUCUGAUGUGAAAGCCUUCGGCUUAACCGAAGAAGGGCAUCGGAAACUGGGAGACUUGAGUGCAGAAGAGGAGAGUGGAACUCCAUGUGUAGCGGUGAAAUGCGUAGAUAUAUGGAAGAACACCAGUGGCGAAGGCGGCUCUCUGGUCUGUAACUGACGCUGAGGCUCGAAAGCGUGGGUAGCAAACAGGAUUAGAUACCCUGGUAGUCCACGCCGUAAACGA
rnacentral:rRNA from 1 species